rnacentral:rRNA from 1 species
ACCUAGCGGCGGACGGGUGAGUAAUGCUUAGGAAUCUGCCUAUUAGUGGGGGACAACAUCUCGAAAGGGAUGCUAAUACCGCAUACGUCCUACGGGAGAAAGCAGGGGACCUUCGGGCCUUGCGCUAAUAGAUGAGCCUAAGUCGGAUUAGCUAGUUGGUGGGGUAAAGGCCUACCAAGGCGACGAUCUGUAGCGGGUCUGAGAGGAUGAUCCGCCACACUGGGACUGAGACACGGCCCAGACUCCUACGGGAGGCAGCAGUGGGGAAUAUUGGACAAUGGGGGGAACCCUGAUCCAGCCAUGCCGCGUGUGUGAAGAAGGCCUUUUGGUUGUAAAGCACUUUAAGCGAGGAGGAGGCUACCGAGAUUAAUACUCUUGGAUAGUGGACGUUACUCGCAGAAUAAGCACCGGCUAACUCUGUGCCAGCAGCCGCGGUAAUACAGAGGGUGCAAGCGUUAAUCGGAUUUACUGGGCGUAAAGCGCGCGUAGGUGGCCAAUUAAGUCAAAUGUGAAAUCCCCGAGCUUAACUUGGGAAUUGCAUUCGAUACUGGUUGGCUAGAGUAUGGGAGAGGAUGGUAGAAUUCCAGGUGUAGCGGUGAAAUGCGUAGAGAUCUGGAGGAAUACCGAUGGCGAAGGCAGCCAUCUGGCCUAAUACUGACACUGAGGUGCGAAAGCAUGGGGAGCAAACAGGAUUAGAUACCCUGGUAGUCCAUGCCGUAAACGAUGUCUACUAGCCGUUGGGGCCUUUGAGGCUUUAGUGGCGCAGCUAACGCGAUAAGUAGACCGCCUGGGGAGUACGGUCGCAAGACUAAAACUCAAAUGAAUUGACGGGGGCCCGCACAAGCGGUGGAGCAUGUGGUUUAAUUCGAUGCAACGCGAAGAACCUUACCUGGUCUUGACAUAGUAAGAACUUUCCAGAGAUGG